ensembl:lncRNA
AUUUUUUUUUGGGGGGGGGGACAUCAUAUUUUUAGGUGUCACGGCGGGUACAUGUGUUAUACAUGUGUUUAAACCUGCAAUGACAAAAAGAUUUAAUGAUAAAUCAUUAUUUUAUUUUAUUUUACUUUCUUAACUCACAUUCUCUUUCACUCUGAAACUUGGGCUUGGGCUCAAAGGGGUUCAUGCUGGUUAUGUAAUUUAUAAUGAAAUAUUUUGUGUUAUACUAUACAAAACACAAAAUAGAAACAUUUUUAAUGAAUGCUCACAGACCUUUGGUCCUCCAUAGUCAGAGAAAAUAUCUUGUGUUAUGGUCCAUCUUAUAUUAUUUGGGCACAGCAAAAGUAGAGAUGCAUAUAAGCAAACCCUCAAAAAUGCACACCCUCACACUGUCUCUUCUACUCUCAUGAUGUGUCCUGCGAUUUCGGCAGAGGGCCGGUGCAUGUUGGCCAUGUGUGGGUUAAGCAGGAAGAGUUAGGGGCUGAGAGCACAUUCGGCUGGAUCCUGUCUACUUGUGUUCCCUGGCAGGGCUGCCGAGCUCGGUGUAUAGAAUCAGUGCACUUGACUGUAUCCAAGCAACCAUUCAUUAAUGCGGCCGACCCUGCAUGGGGCUUUGUGAGUCUCAGUUCAGAGAUGUGUGCUAUAGUCGCCGUACAGAGUAGUUAAGAACCAGUGAUUACCGAAAACAUGUCCCCACAGGAGCUGUGAAGAAAGGCUGGCAUGGUGGCGUUGAGCACAGAUUUCACAGAAUCAGGGUCUUUUAAGAGGAAGAAGAGAGUGAUGGAUGGAUGAGGAGAUGAGAUCAGAUGGAGCACUGCUGGAACUGUGGGAUACGGCGCACCUGGUGCCAAUUGUGCCUCAUCGACACUACUAUAAAUUCUUGUCACCAGCACCGGGUAAUAUGAACCCAAUUUCGAGGCCAGAGGUAGCAGCUAAAUCAUUACGCCACAACCAAAAUGAUCACCGCCAGGUCUCACGCCUAGAAAUAAAUGGUCUGUUCUGCCAUUCCCUUUUCCCUUUGAAGACACAAUGUGUCUUUUGUUAUCACAACUUUCACUUCCCAAGAUACUCUCUUUAUCUUUAAUUUAAUCUGGGGAGUAAAAGGAGGGAGGAGUCCUGCUAAUUUAUUCCUAAUCGAACAAGUCAAUUUCACAGUGAUGUCUUUUGAACUUCAUCCCUUUUUAGUAUGUACAGCACACGACUCUAUCACUGAGUUAUGCAACAAAAGGAUCAUGGAGGAACUUGAUAAAAUGCUUUUGCGCUCCCAGUUGUAUUAAGAGAGGUGAGAAGAGGAGGGCUGGAGAGAGAAGAGGGUGUGAAAAGAGAGGUGAAGAUAAGAGGGUGAAGGAGGAGGUGAAGAUGAAGAGCUCUUUGAGCUGGUGAAGACAGUGAUAUAAUUAUGUGAGAUUAUAUGCAAGAUUUUUUAAAUAUUCAAUAUUAUUCUGAAGUAAUCUAGAAAAAAAAACCUGUGGCCAGUGAGAAAAGAAUGUAAUUAAGGAAAAUGAACUGUUUUAUAGGAGGCAAACAGCUUUCCAAUGGCUUUUUGGAUCCCAGUGCAGGGGUUCAUUAUUGUGUAGGACAACCUCUCUUAAAGCUCAUUUCUAACGAACAAAAGCAGCCAUAAUUAUAACACAGCAGAACUCGGUUCUCAUUUACUUUUAACUCAGGAAGUAAAAUGUGUUUUUCCCAAGCGGUUUAUUGCAGACGUGUCUGCUCUAGUCGCACAGAUCGUGGUUUACACUGAAUGACAAUGAUUUCGCAUGCUGACUUCAUUUGGACACUUUCUAAGAUUAUUCAUAUUCCACAUUUCACAGACGACCAAGAUAUCGUCAGUACAAAACGUGCAUACUUAAAAUAAAAAUGUUUUGUUCCUAGAAAUAAAACA